rnacentral:rRNA from 1 species
UAAAAUUUGGGGAUUGAUACCCUAUUAUGGAGGAGAGCAAGUAGUGUUAGUCUAUGUGGUUAGUAGUGUUUUGGGAGCAUGCAUGUGGUAGAGUAGGGGAACAGGGAAUGUGUGGUUGUUAGCCUGAGUAAAUAUAGAACAUGGCGGUCUGUCGGCAAGAUAGAGGGAUAUGCACGUGAAUGAAACUGCACAUAUUUCUUACUCUCUCUAGAAUGAGCUCACUUUGUACACCGCUAUCUGAAUCGAUGUAGAGGGAAAUGAUCUAUCAUGCUAUGUUUUUUAUGAUGUUAUCUGUGUGGCCUAUGGGGCCUCGGUGCUAUUAGAUGGUACGCAGAGGUAUUCUAAGUAGAUAUACAGAGAUAGUCUGUAAGUUAAGUUUAGGUGCAAGCUAUGGGGGAGUAAAUGUGUAUUCCAAUGUAAGUAUGAUGGAGGGAAGAAGGUGUAAUGGAAGUGUCCAUCCGUCCUGGCAUCACGAGGGGCUGGUGGUAUGUAAUGUGCUAGUAGCUAUAGAAUUUAUAAGUAAAGGAAGAACUCAAUCCUUGCUUGAAAUAACGAGUGCAACGGCAGACGUACACAUCGCCGUUCGCUUCUUAAGA